rnacentral:rRNA from 1 species
GAGUUUGAUCAUGGCUCAGAACGAACGCUGGCGGCAUGCCUAACACAUGCAAGUCGAACGAGACCUUCGGGUCUAGUGGCGCACGGGUGCGUAACGCGUGGGAAUCUGCCCUUGGGUACGGAACAACAGUUAGAAAUGACUGCUAAUACCGUAUAAUGACUCCGGUCCAAAGAUUUAUCGCCCAAGGAUGAGCCCGCGUCGGAUUAGCUAGUUGGUGAGGUAAAAGCUCACCAAGGCGACGAUCCGUAGCUGGUCUGAGAGGAUGAUCAGCCACACUGGGACUGAGACACGGCCCAGACUCCUACGGGAGGCAGCAGUGGGGAAUAUUGGACAAUGGGCGAAAGCCUGAUCCAGCAAUGCCGCGUGAGUGAUGAAGGCCUUAGGGUUGUAAAGCUCUUUUACCCGGGAUGAUAAUGACAGUACCGGGAGAAUAAGCCCCGGCUAACUCCGU